rnacentral:lncRNA from 1 species
GUGCGCCCAGGCGGUAGCGCAUGCGCAGAGGGACAGCGGGAAAGGCUGCCUCUGAGGCGGAGCGCGGAGCCAGUCGCGAGCUGGCCUGACGAGGCCUGACGGGGCCUGUUCGCAGAACGAAGAGUCGGAAUCGGUGUUAACAACACGCGAUUGUGAGAGUCAGAAGAGCUCCUUGUUAUUUUUGAGGUACGUUACAUUUCAGCUGCGGGCAAAAUAUCUAGUAGUAGUGAACAUUUGCGCUUAGGUGA